rnacentral:lncRNA from 1 species
GAGACAAGGAUGGACUCUGUAGCGCCAUAUGACAGGAGCGUGCUCCAUGUUCAUUGAAAAGGACCCUUAGCCAGUAACAUUGGGAUUAAAGCCAGUUAGACCGUGCCUCAAAACUGCCUUAAACUAAUACCUUGGUGUGAUGUCUGAGCCAUUGCCUAAGGAGAGCCACCCUACUGCUUCUUAUUUAGCCCUAGACUAAGGAUCAAUGUGUAAAUGGAAUAGAACCUUUCAGAAGAUAUGACAAGACUGAAAGAAGAGCCAGGAUCAGCCCAGAGCCCGUCUGGUUACCUGUAUAUGUGCCUGUGCCUACGUGUCUGUAUGUAUAUGCUCAUUAAAUACAUCAGCAGAAACUA